rnacentral:rRNA from 1 species
AGUGAACGCUGGCGGUAGGCCUAACACAUGCAAGUCGAACGGCAGCACAGGAGAGCUUGCUCUCUGGGUGGCGAGUGGCGGACGGGUGAGGAAUACAUCGGAAUCUACUCUGUCGUGGGGGAUAACGUAGGGAAACUUACGCUAAUACUGCAUACGACCUACGGGUGAAAGCAGGGGACCUUCGGGCCUUGCGCGAUUGAAUGAGCCGAUGUCGGAUUAGCUAGUUGGCGGGGUAAAGGCCUACCAAGGCGACGAUCCGUAGCUGGUCUGAGAGGAUGAUCAGCCACACUGGAACUGAGACACGGUCCAGACUCCUACGGGAGGCAGCAGUGGGGAAUAUUGGACAAUGGGCGCAAGCCUGAUCCAGCCAUACCGCGUGGGUGAAGAAGGCCUUCGGGUUGUAAAGCCCUUUUGUUGGGAAAGAAAUCCAGCUGGCUAAUACCCGGUUGGGAUGACGGUACCCAAAGAAUAAGCACCGGCUAACUUCGUGCCAGCCGCCGCGGUAA